GAUCGCGCCUAUGCAGGAGGUCUGCCACCUGUGACAAGGCGAGAAGUGCACUGAACCUUAUCUUUAGAGGAAGGAGAAGUCGUAACAAGGUUUCCAUAGGUGAACCUGUGGAAGAAUCAUUAUCGCAUCACAUCUCCGUCUCGAUCAACCUGACGCACCCACGAACAGUUGACCCCGACCCUUCUUUUAAAUUCGUCCACAGGGAAGAGGCAGAUCAACGGUCCCUCGGUUCUCGGCCGACAGCUCAGCUCGGCUGUGUCCGUUCGAUCGUCAAUCCGUCAUGCCUCCUCUAGCCCUCUGCGUGCCCUCCUCCCCAAGCAUCAUCCAUGUCGAUGGUCGAGCGGCGGCGGGACGACAAACCUCCCAGUACGGCCUGUGCCAAGGAUCACAUACUAAGGUCACCCACGCAUGGGCCUUACUCUUAGCGGGGAGAUGUGCGGUGUCAGUCGCUAGGAACGAGUCUCCAAAUGACUUUCGGCAAUAGAUAUCGUGGCUCUCGCAUCGAUGAAUAACAUAGCAAAAUGUGAUAUGUGGUGUGAAUUGAAAAAUCCCCAAACCAUUGAAUUUUGAAUGCAAUUUGCCCCCGAGGCCACUGGGCCGAGGGAUACCUGCCUUGGUGUCAUGCCCCAUGUAGCAACUUGUCCCCCGCCUGCAGUGUCUACCAGCAGUGCACGGCCGCCGAGGACGGGGAUGCAGAGAUUGGCUUGUCGUGCUCCGGUGCGGAGGGCUGAAGACCUUGGCCCUCUCAUGGGGGGUGACCAUGGCGACCGGUGGACGAAUUUGACAUUGUGGACACUCUGGACAGUAAGCACUCAUCAUUGUGUGCUUGUCAUUGCUGAACAGAAUAGAAUGGAGCUCCGCUUACUCACCAUGAGGGGGAAGGAAGGAAUGAGGUGUGCCAAUGAGCAAAGGAACCCACUCCCGAGCCGACGCAGGCCGUAGCUCGGACUGCGACCCUAGGUCAGGCAGGGCCACUCACCGAGCUUAAGCAUGUAAAUAAGUGGAGGAAAAUAAACUUACCAGAAUUCCCCUAGUAACGG
rnacentral:rRNA from 1 species